UGGGGAAUUUUGGACAAUGGGCGAAAGCCUGAUCCAGCAAUGCCGCGUGUGUGAAGAAGGCCUUCGGGUUGUAAAGCACUUUUGUCCGGAAAGAAAUCCUUGGCUCUAAUACAGUCGGGGGAUGACGGUACCGGAAGAAUAAGCACCGGCUAACUACGUGCCAGCAGCCGCGGUAAUACGUAGGGUGCAAGCGUUAAUCGGAAUUACUGGGCGUAAAGCGUGCGCAGGCGGUUUGCUAAGACCGAUGUGAAAUCCCCGGGCUCAACCUGGGAACUGCAUUGGUGACUGGCAGGCUAGAGUAUGGCAGAGGGGGGUAGAAUUCCACGUGUAGCAGUGAAAUGCGUAGAGAUGUGGAGGAAUACCGAUGGCGAAGGCAGCCCCCUGGGCCAAUACUGACGCUCAUGCACGAAAGCGUGGGGAGCAAACAGGAUUAGAUACCCUGGUAGUCCACGCCCUAAAACGAUGUCAACUAGUUGUUGGGGAUUCAUUUCCUAGUAACGUAGCUAACGCGUGAAGUUGACCGCCUGGGGAGUACGGUCGCAAGAUUAAAACUUAAAGGAAUUGACGGGGUC
rnacentral:rRNA from 1 species